CCAUAACAGGAUUGCAGGUUAGUUCCAACCUUUGUUGCCCUUUGGUAGAGUGAGUCUGUCUUACCGAACUGGCAGGACGCGGAGAUCGAUUGAUCAACAUGAAUCUCAAGAGUGGAUAGUUGACAGCCGCUUUUGUUCCUUUAAUUUCCUGUGGGAAUCUUAAUCAUGCUCUAGAUAGAUCCUCUGUUAUUUAAGUUUCAAUCUUGCUACUGUUACUAUCUCACAUGGUACUGGAGUUUCUUCUACCUCAGAUGUGAAAUGACAUCAAUCAAGUGGUGCAGCAGUCAUCUUUAUGGAGAUUAAGCUCAAUUAAUGAUAGCAUUAGAACAGGAGGAACUGAAAAGGACACAGGAUGCAGAGAGAGAGCAUGAGAGCAGCAGCAGCCAUUUCAGUGCCCAAGGGACAAAGACAACUUUGGCACCUUGCAGUUUGGAGCCUGAAGGUAGGGUAGGAAAUGAUAUUAUUUGUUCUUCUUGUAAUGCAUUCUUCGCUAGUAAAGCUCCCUCAAAACCUAAUUGUACAGUCCUCUACUUCUGGAGUCACAAAUUUGGCAAUAAAGAUCGGGGCUCUCUUCACCAGGUUUUUGUUGAAUCCCCAACCUCUUCCUCUGAUCUUGUUUAGUAAAAAGCACUAAACACCCUGUGUAAGUGGACCCAAGAAGGUAAGAGUUGAACUCCGAACCACACGCUUCCUGGGGCGAAGGUCUCUUACCAACUCCUCUACCCUCUUUAGGGUUGACCUCUUCCUGUGAUCUGUUAUCUUCUUAAUAUAUAAGAUGAUCCAUCAGGUGGUUGUCUUUU